GCUAGCAGCCAUAUUACCUUGCAACUCACAAUUGGCAAGUCCACUGAACUCAGCAAGUAUGAGCCUGGUCAGUACCUGGAUGGGAGACCUCCUGAGAAAAACUAAGGUUGCUGCUGGAA
rnacentral:rRNA from 1 species